rnacentral:snRNA from 1 species
AUGGAUUUAAUAAAAAAAAAAAAAAAAAAAAAAAUACUGUUCUUAUCAGUUUAAUAUCUGAUACGUCCCCUACCCGGGGGGCUACAUAUUAAAAUUGAUUUUUUGGAUCACGGAGCUGGAGCCGGGGGCUUGCUCUGUCCACUCCACGCAUCGGCCUGGUAUUGCAGUGUCUAGGAGCUGAGUUGACACC